rnacentral:tRNA from 1 species
GGCGGCUUAGCUCAGCUGGUUAGAGCGUGGUGCUAAUAACGCCAAGGUCGCGGGUUCGAUCCCAAUACUGGCCA